AUUUUGGUGCUUGUCAAAAAACAAGAGUGCCCAAGAGCUGAAGCUGGAAGGUGAGGGUGUGCUAGAACUUCCUCGACAACAAUUGCUGGAGGAUGGAGGUAGCGGUGUACCUAAUAUUCGACUUCUCUUUUAUCUCUCUAAAUUUCAUACUCCGCACAAGACUUCAUUUUCAAAUGGUGAUGGCAGGCGAAGGAGGAGUCACAAGCAACCCAUACGGCAUCGCUUCCUCUUACGAUGGCGGAGGAUAAAUAGGGGUGGAAGGAAAGUUCUAUAGAAGGUCGUCCUAUAGAGCCCACCAUACGACGUCGUAUGAUCGUCCCCUCACUACUUUAUGAGGAAUUAGCACCGUCGCGCACCAACAAUAACAACUCUAGCUAGUUGAAUAAGCUCGUGGUGGACUCGGCCUCCAAGCUCAUCUCUUAUGGGGUUCACCGCUUCUUUGCCUCCAUUUUUUUGCAAUCGCCUCCUACCUCCUCCUCAACUACCGUAUAUGUUCU
rnacentral:lncRNA from 1 species